rnacentral:rRNA from 1 species
AUUGAACGCUGGCGGCAGGCCUAACACAUGCAAGUCGAACGAGUGGCGGACGGGUGAGUAAUGUCUGGGAAACUGCCUGAUGGAGGGGGAUAACUACUGGAAACGGUAGCUAAUACCGCAUACCAUCGGAUGUGCCCAGAUGGGAUUAGCUUGUUGGUGGGGUAAAGGCUCACCUAGGCGACGAUCCCUAGCUGGUCUGAGAGGAUGAACAGGCACAAUGGAAAUGAGGCACGGUCCAGACUCCUACGGGAGGGAGCAGGUGGGAAUAUUGGAAAAUGGGCGGAAGGCUGAUGGAGACAUGGCGCGGGGGUGGAAAAGGGCUUCGGGUUGGAAAGUACUUUUAGGGGGGAGGCGGUACCCGGCAGAGAAGCAACGGCUAACUCCGUGCCAGCCGCCGCGGUAAUUC